rnacentral:rRNA from 1 species
AUUGAACGCUGGCGGCAGGCCUAACACAUGCAAGUCGAACGAGUGGCGGACGGGUGAGUAAUGUCUGGGAAACUGCCUGAUGGAGGGGGAUAACUACUGUAAACGGUAGCUAAUACCGCAUACCAUCAGAUGUGCCCAGAUGUGAUUAGCUAGUUGGUGGGGUAACGGCUCACCAAGGCUACGAUCCCUAGCUGGUCUGAGAGGAUGACGCGCCACACUGGAACUGAGACACGCUCCAGACUCCUACGGGCGGCAGCAGUGGGGAAUAUUGCACAAUGGGCGCAAGCCUGAUGCAGCCAUGCCGCGUGUAUGAAGAAGGCCUUCGGGUUUUAAAGUACUUUCAGCGGGGAGGCGGUACCCGCAGAAGAAGCCCCGGCUAACUCCGUGCCAGCAGCCGCGGUAAUUC